AUAUAAUUUUAUUUUUGGGUUAAGAAAGAAUAUGUAUUGUAGUACCUUUUGUAUCAGGGUUGUUUAAUUAGAGAAGUAAUUUAUAUUUCUCGAUAUUAAGUGAAUUAAAUAGGUUAUUAUGUGUUGAAUAAUUAUAUUGAUUUAUUUAGUAGUGAAAUUUUUUCGUAGUUGAAGGUAUCUGGUUAUUAAUAAGAAUAAUAAGAAGGAUAAGCUUUUUAUUAUGAUAUAUUUGUAGGGCUAUAUAAUAAAUUAGGCUUAAGAUUAGCUUUAUUGAUAUUUUGUUUUAAAUUUUUUAUAGGACAGCAGAAAAGGAAUUAUUUUAAGUUAGUGAUUUUAUUUAAUAAAUAAGGUUUAUUUAUAAUGAAUGAAUAAGUAUUUUUUUUUUCUGUUUAAUAUAACUCGAGGGUUAUAGAAUAGUUUAUCAAAAACAUUUUUUUACUUGUGUAAAGUAAGGCCUGCCCGGUGUAUAAUUAACGGCUGCGGUAUCUUGACUGUGCUAAGGUAGCAUAAUAAUUUGUUUCUUAAUUGGAAACUGGAAUGAAAGGUUUUAUCUAUGAUUUGUUUUAUUCACAGAAGAGAUAAUUUAUAUUUAUAGUAAAAAUACUAUAAUAAAAUAAAGUGACGAUAAGACCCUAUAAGCUUUAUUUAUAUAAUUGGCGGGAUAAGGAUUUAUCUUCUAUUAAUUGAAUGUUAAAUUUGCUGGGGCAGUGACAUUAUUUAAUUUAAUGUGAGUUUUACAUUGAUGGAUGAGCAUAAGAUCUUCUUAUAGAGAUAGCUAGGACGAGUUACUGUAGGGAUAACAGCGCAAUAAUUUUGGAGAGGCCUUAUUGAUAAAAUUGAUUGCGACCUCGAUGUUGAAUUAAGAUUUCUUUUUGUUGCAGAAGAUAUAAGAGAGGGUUUGUUCAACCUUUAAAUUUUUACAUGAUUUGAGUUCAAAUCGGUUUAAGCCAGAUUGGUUUCUAUCUUUUAUUUAUUAUGUUUUGUGUAAGUACGAAAGGGACACAUAAAGUUU
rnacentral:rRNA from 1 species